GACGAACGCUGGCGGCGUGCCUAACACAUGCAAGUCGAACGGAGUGUUUAUUUAUAAACACUUAGUGGCGAACGGGUGAGUAACGCGUAGACAACCUACCCUCUAGAUGGGGACAACACCGCGAAAGUGGUGCUAAUACCGAAUGUUGUAAUGUUGUUGCAUAAUGAUAUUACUAAAGGUGGCCUCUAUAUAAAAGCUACCGCUAGAAGAUGGGUCUGCGUCUGAUUAGCUAGUUGGUGAGAUAACAGCUCACCAAGGCAAUGAUCAGUAGCCGGUCUGAGAGGAUGAACGGCCACACUGGGACUGAGACACGGCCCAGACUCCUACGGGAGGCAGCAGUGGGGAAUCUUCCGCAAUGGACGAAAGUCUGACGGAGCAACGCCGCGUGAGUGAAGAAGGUUUUCGGAUCGUAAAGCUCUGUCUUCAAGGACGAAUGUAGAUAUUGUGAAUAAUGAUAUUUAAUGACGGUACUUGAGGAGGAAGCCACGGCUAACUACGUGCCAGCCGCCGCGGUAA
rnacentral:rRNA from 1 species